rnacentral:lncRNA from 1 species
GAUGUUGGUGGCUCGGUCAGGCAGCAGGGGAGUUUUGAAAUGAAAGAUGAGCAAAUAAUAUAGCGCCUUUUGUUAUCAAGAAUUGGUUGGGAGAAGAUGUAGUUGGCAAUUUGACAAAGUAAGUGAGGUCCAACUGCUGGUAAUUUCGUUGUGUGUGUACUAUUGGAAAAACAAAAAGCUACUGAACACCAUAAAUCACUGCUUCAAAAGAAAAUCAUAAUGUAAACGCGUGGAAAUCUAUAUAAAUUAAAAGGUUUAUAAAAUGAUGGAUAAUUGUAAAACAUAUGCUUUAGAAUUUAUAGCUUGUAGAUCUAAUAAUAUAUUUUAAAAUAUUUAUCAUUUAAAUUGAGCAUAAAAUUUAUAGAUUAACAGUAAUAAUUGGAAAUCAACUUAUCAUUCAUUAAAAUUACUGAGUCUUUGAUUUCUCUUAUUUAUUUUCUAUCAGCCAAGCAGAAAAGAAUCUUAUUGCGAAUAGGCUUCCAGUGGCACGGGUUACUGUUCUACCAGAAGACUUUGCACCUUUUUCCUGCUGAUUUUAAUAGAAGUGAAGUUCAAUUGGUAAAAGAAAAUAAAUAAAUCCAAAAUGGUUUGUCACGUCACGUGACCGGUUUGGUGCCCGAGCACAUGGGAAAUUUGAGGUUGGGUGCGCAUCUAAGAUAUUGCUAGAUGAGUUUUGGUUUUGAGGUUGCUAUUAUAAAUUUAAAAUAUUUUUUAAUUGGC